GGCCGGAAAGUUUGCGCAGCGAGAGGGACUCUCCUUCCGUGUCUCUCCCGCGCUGCCCCCUUCUGCCCCGGAGGGGCGUUAGAGUCCCCUCGGGUUUUCCUUUCAAAUUCUAAAAUAAAAAAGUAAUAUAUGCCCAGGCCCUGGGGAAAUUGGAAUAGUAAUUCAUUCAAUAAAUGAAAUUAUAUGAGAGGUUUUGGGAAAACCCCAAGCCAACCGCAUGUGCCCUCCGAUCAAGUAGGGCAAGAGAGUGAGAAGGCGACAGAAGAGGUCCCCGGCUCGCCCUGGGCACACGGCGAGGACUCUGGUCAGAGGUAAUUAUGUCACUGCGUUUUCUCGCUGUGACAGCCGAAUAAACACAAUCUCCAAUAAACAUCUCUAAUGAGGGAGGAGGCCCGAGGAUGGCUGGGUUUGAUUUAUGACUGGAGGAGAAGGUCCAUUUCCCACUGAGAAGCGGGCAACCUGCUCACCGCCCAGACCCGGAGAAAGGAAUCCGCGGAGGAGAGGACCCAGGCCCAGGAUAUGAUCCAGGAUUCCAUGUUGCAUCAGAUCUGCUGAUUUUUUAGACUCAAAGCCUUGGAGGGCUGAGCUGAACACACCUCCGCUGGAAAAUUAUCUGGAGCCAGCAUUUAUUGGGUGCUAGGGUUUGCCAUCCUCACCACACUGCGGGGGAUCGGGAUGUCAGCUCUCUCACCUAAGGACCCAUUCGAGCGUGGAGGAGAAUGUGAAGACGAGCCGAGGCUGCCCUAAAAUAAUCAUAAAGGAGAGACGCGCCCCCGGUGUAUUGGCACGUGUUUCACAAGUUGCGCUUAGCAAAUACAAGUCCUUGUGAGCGCUGCCUUUUAUGUGGCAGUAAACCAUCUCUGAUGGUGUCGAGCGCAGAGGCUCACGCCAGCUAACCCAGCCUGCCUCGGAGGGCCCUCCCCAGGGGCUCGCGCCUUCCCACGGCAGAGGGAGGGCACAUCAGAUCGAGGCGGGUGCCCAAGGGAGGUCGUGAUGUGUUUUGUCUGCUCGACCCUGGCAGUGGUGCGCCUAUGUUCCUCUGCUUGAGCCGAUCCUCAAGACAUUUGGCAGAGGAGGAAACUGCGGCCUUGAGGAAAGAACCGCCGGAAGAAGAUCAGUGCUGGGAUAUUUGCUCCUCAUCCUCUGUUCUUCUGACGCCACCUCGUGCCCUCUCUUUGCCUGGUUGUCACUUCUUGGUGCCCUCACUUCUACCCGUGUGACCUAGAUUGAACCUCAAUCCAAGAGCUAUUCAAGCAGCCAAGGAGAGAAGGAUAACGUGGGGCAGAAGCAUGGUCCCACAGAACACAGGGCCGGCGCACCGGGCACAUCCUGCACAGAUUCAAGGAAGCAGAAAGCCACCGGGACUUGCACAUCGAGAGAAGCCUUCAGGGAGAAAAUUGAGGGAGCUCCCAGGUUACUUCCUGUUCAAAAGCCACUGAAGUGGACGCAAAAGGCAAGGAGAGCCCGAGGCCUUGGCAUCUCCGCCGGCCCAACCUGCAAAGGAAUCCAGCACCCACUGCCCGUGAGGUCUUUGAAGGAAGACGGUGUGGGGCCUGGCGGUCUCCGCAGGAGGGGAGCAGGGAGGGAGGGAGGAGGGCUAUGUCUGGACCGGUCUCUCUCCGCCACCCACAGAAGGCUCCUCCUUCAUUUGGAAGCCUCCUAACCUGAGCACAAAUGAGACCCCCUGGGAUCCCAAAAUAGCUCCCCUCACAGCUGCACAGCAUCCAUUUAUAGCACAGCAUCUCUGCAGCCUCAGGCUGCUCCUGGGACGGCCCUUCUGAGCUCAGCAUCUGCGAACACCAGGCUCCAUGUCAUUUAAAAGCAGAAAUACUCAUAAAGGACCUAUUAUGGCCUUGUCACUGUUUUCCAGAACUUGCCUCAACCCUCAGAGACCUCAAAGGGCCAAAUUUGUUUUGACCCAGAGCCAGACCAUGUUUUGUCCAACAAUAACCCAGAGGCCGGUCGGGUCCCUUCCUCUGGGCUCGGCAGCAGUUGAGAAUGUUCUACUUGGUGGCAGCAGGACAAACAGUACCAAACUGAUGCUUGGGCCUUAGACCAAGUCACUCGGACAGCCCCAGGGCAGAACCACCAUUAGGCUCUAUGUCUAUACUGUCCACUUACUAGCAAGGAAAGUAACUGAGGCCUCUUAUUGACAUUAUCCACUCAUGUUAUCGGUGCUAACUCUGAAUGUCAAAUUAUAGAGCAAAGAAACACCCCCGGCCCCAUCGAGGUAGGUUCUGUACUUCCUUCUCAUAUGAACUUUAACCCACUUUUUCACAUGCGACUUAUGUAGAGACAGACUGAAACCGUCCAUUGAUAAUCAAGUGUAUGUUGCUUUUUCACCCCCGACUCUGAGCGGAGUUGAGAGAUCAGAAGUGACCCUGGCUGGCCGCUUGCAGUUUGCUCAGCCUCCUUCUGCUUUCUGUGACAGCCACUGGCACUUGUCUUCCUGAGACAAACAUUUUUUUGUUCAAGCAGAUUCAGGCCGCCUCUGGAAUCGGUCCAGAGCAGUUUUCUGAAGGUGGGGGGAGGGGGCUUCCUUUCCAAAGUUGCUGAGUGGGAGCAAGUCUCUGCUGAUGAGCCUUUCCGGGGGUGGGGGGGGGAGUGGGGGGGAAGGCCUGGAGGGAGUUCAUAAGAGCCGGGCCACUGACAGGACAUAUCUGCCCUGUUAAGGCGACCGAGGCCCUAGCGCAGGGUAGCAACAUUCAUCCAGGGGUAAGAAACCUGUGUGAUCAUGUCCCCUCCCCACCUCCCCGACCUAUUAAAGAGAGUUCUUUCUAGAGCAGUCUUAGAUUCACAGCAAAAUUGAGCAGAAAGUACAGAGAAUUCCCUUAUCCUCCCUGCCCCCCCACCUCACUAUCAAAUCCCCACCGUGGCACAUUUGUUAUAAUUGAUGAAUUUACAUGGACACAUCAUUAUCAACCAAAGUCCAUGGUUUACCAUAGGGUUCCGUCUUGGUGUUUAUUUAUUUGCAUGUGUAUGUGUCAGGAUUGCUCUGAAGAAAGACCCCAGUACAGGCCAACAGCGGACAUCAUGGCUAAUAUUACUGGAGUCAGUCACAAGAGAGAAAUGGAUUUCUUCCCAAGACUUCCUUGGUUACUGCACUGAUGAAGGCACAAGUCGAAAGACUUACGUUUUAGUAAUUUUUUUGGUUGCUAUUGACUUCUCUCUUGUUCCCCUCUGGUGUCAUCAAAUUUGAGCCAAUUCUGAGCCAGACGCAUAAAGGGAAUCCCGGCUGUUGGUGAACGCUGAGGAAGAGGCAAAGGCAUAAAUAUAGGGAGUGGGUGCCUGAGUGCUAAGUGAUGGAGAUUGAAGGGGAAAUUACCCCUCUUCUUCUGCUUUACAAAUUCACAAACAUCUAGUCCACCACGAAGUCUAUAACAGCCAUUUGAUAAACACAAAAUUCAAUUAAACUGAUUCAGAAAUGGCUCUAGCCUGGACAUUUAAACCAAUAGCCAAUUGCUGCAGAGAAAAUGCUGGAGCAGAUGGAUGUUUCUCUAGAUCUUAUCUGCCUUGGGUUUUCAGGUGAAUUCAUCCCAGAAAUGAGGGGUUGUGGAACUUGGUACCUGGGAUUUCAUGGAGUCCUUGGGAAGUUCAAGUCACCCCAAAAUGCUUACUUCUUGAGUCAUCUCCUUUUGCCUUCUUACAUCAUCUAAUUUAAAAUGUAUACUUUUGUUAAGGGUAGGGUUCAAGUUUAUUAAUCAUUAAUCAUCUUAUUGUAAUUAUGUCAGUGCAAAUGUAAUAGGUAGAUCAACAUUGACAUAUUAUUUCCAUUAAUAUACAUUACUUGUAGUUUUCUAUUUAGUCACUAACCGUGGCUCAUUCACCUUUUUAGGCUGAAUCAUCAGAUGUGAAGAGCCAUCCAGGGCAUUUCUGAGUUCUGAUUGGUUGCACUAGCUCGAAAUCUGAUUAGUCCAAAAUUUGGCCCCAAAAGUCUCAGCAAAAGUCUUGUCCCGUGUGUGUUUGAAAUUUUACAGAGUGAUUCAUAGCUGUUAUUUGUUCUAAGCAAAUAUCUGACAAGUUUCUGAUCCAUUGAUUUUGCAGAGGAAAUGUUUCCAAGUACCAUUGCCUUUCCCUAAAAGCCAGCUUAAAGCCCACACAUGUUUAUAUUGCGUGUUAUGUUCAAAGAGCAUUUAGGUAAGUGGAGUGGGAUAUAGAACCACCUAUGGUUCUGUCUUAUCUUGCUGGACUGGGAGGAUGUUUCCUGUGACCUCUCAAGGCACGUGAACACACAAUGCGCUAGGCAGCCCUCCGGUUUUCCUCCUGCAACAUCGGCAUUGGACAGGCCGGUGGAACAGAGGUGGUCUGGGAGGCACAAGGCCUGGGUAUUGGUUUUGAUUGUCCUACUGAAGAGUCGUAGCCCCUUAGCAAAGUGCCUUAACCAUUUGAUUCUCACUUCUUUUCUCUAUAAACGGGAAAAGGAAUACCUGUCUACCACAUCUUAGCACGUUGUGGUUGGAGCCAAAUGAGAACUUGGGCAAAUAAGAAGGCUUUGGUAGGGAGUUCCCUUCCUGGCUCAGUGGUUAACGAACCCAACUAGGAUCUACAAGGAUAUGGGUCGAUCCCUGGCCUUGCUCAGCGGGUUAAGGAUACAGCAUUGUCAUGAGCUGUGGUGAAGGUCACAGAUGUGGCUUCGAUCCCAAGCUGCUGAGGCUGUGGCUGUGGCGUAGGCCGGCGGCUGCAACUCCGAUUCGACCCCUAGCCUGGGAACCUCCAUAUGCCAUGGGUGCAGCCCUAAAAAG
rnacentral:lncRNA from 1 species